rnacentral:lncRNA from 1 species
AAAAUGUAUGCUCGCAUGAGUGGAAGUCGCUUAAACGUGUCUGCUAAAUGGUAUAUAUUAUUAUGCCAUUAUUGGCAAUCAAAGUAUCAGCACUAUAGUAGUAGUAAUAGUUAGUAGUAGUAGUUAGUAGUUAGUAAUAGUCGUAGUAUUGCUAGUAGUUGUUAGUAGUAGUAGUUAGUACUAGUUGUAGUUAGUAGUAGCAGUAGUAGUACUAGUAAUAGUAGUAGUUAGUAGCAGUAAUAGUUAUUAGUAUUAAAAGUAGUAGUAGUACUAGUAGUUAGUUGUAGUAAUAGUAGUUAGUAGUAGUAGUAGUACUAGUAGUCUGUUGUAGUAGUAGUAAUAGUAGUAGUAGUAGUAGUAGCAUUAGUAGUAGUUAUUAGCAGUAGUAGUUAGUAUUUAGUAGUAGUAAGUAGAACUAGUAGGUAGUAGCAGUAGUAGUAGUUAGCAGGAGUAGUAUUCGUAGUAGUAGUAGUAGUAGUAGUGCUAGUAGUAGUAGUAGUCAUAAUAGUUAGUAUUAAUAGUUAGUAGUAGUACUAGUAGUAAUAUUUGUUAGUAGCAAUAGUUAGUAGUAGUAGUAGUAGUAGCUAUAGCAGUAAUAGUUAGUAGUAGUACUAGUAGUUUGUUUUAGUAGUAGUAGCUGUAGUUAGUAGUAGUUGUUAGUGGUAGUAGUAGUAGUAGCAGUAGUAGUAGUAGUAGUAGUAGUAGUAGUUAGUAGCUAGUAAUUAGCAGUAGUAUUAUUGUUAGUGCUAGUAGCCGUAGUAGUAUUAUUUGGUAGUUGUAGUAGCAGUAGUUAGUUGUAGAAGUACUAGUAGUUAGUAGAAGUACUAGUAGUUAGUAGUAGUAGGAGCAGCAGUAGUAGUAGUAGUAGUAAUAUUAGCAGUAAUAGUUAGUAGUAGUAGUAGUAGCAGUAGUUAAUAGUAGUCGUAGUACUAGUGCUAAUAGUUAGUAGUAGUAGUAGCAGUUGUAAUUGUAGUUAGUAGUAGUAGCAGUAGUAGUUAGUAGUUAAUAAUACUAGUAGUAGUAGUGGUAGUAGCAGCAGUUAGUAGUUAGUAGUAGUGGCUGCAGUAAUAGUAUUCGUAUUUCUGAGGGUGUAGGAAUACACAAUUAAGUAAACACAGCAGAGAGAUCACGCCCCUAUCCACAUCGACAGGACUGCAGUGGAGAAGGUGGAAAGCUUCAAGUUCCUCGACGUACACAUCACUGACGAUCUGAAAUGGUCCACCAACACAGACAGUGUGGUGAAGGCACAACAGCGCCUAUUCAACCUCAAGAGGCUGAAGAAAUUUGGCUUGGCCCCUAAAGCCCUCACAAACUUUUACAGAUUCACAAUUGAGAGCAUCCUGUUGGUCUGUAUCACCGCCUGGUAUGGCAACUGCACCGCCCACAACCGCAGGGCUCUCCAGAGGGUGGUGCGGACUGCCCAACGCAUCACCGGGGGCAAACUACCUGCCCUCCAGGACACCUACAGCACCCGAUGUCACAGGAAGGCAAAAAAAUCAUCAAGGAC